rnacentral:lncRNA from 1 species
GAUAGUGAAAAACCCUUCUACACCUACGUUAUUCCACUCUCUUUGCCUCCAAUAUGUUUUCCCCCAAAAUUGUCAUUUCCCCUCAAACCUAAUUCCCACCUCUUCAAUUGAGGCAGAAAGAUUUAGCAGAAAUACAUUGUUAAGCAAAUUUUGCGAGACACUCGGCUUGAAGAUCCAGAAACGAGAUUUUCUUCCGCUUCGGAGUCUGUUGAAACGCCAUUCGAAUCGAACACUUCCUUGUUCACUGCAGGUACUUGUAUUCCUAAUUUGUUUGUUAAUGCUUGUGCAAAUUAUUUCGUUUUUUAAUUUUAAACUUCAAUUGGCCUUUGGAAUGAAUAUUCGGGUAAUUAUUUUACUGCUCUAGUUUCAUUUUCGCCUGUGAUGGUAAUCAAUCAUGUGGGUUUCAAUUUCAUUGACUGAAGAAUACAGUUGGGAAAAAAAAAAAACUAUCUUUCUAAUUUCCUCAAAAUUUAGAACGAUUUGAUCAAAUCCUAUAGAAUAUGAUAUCCGUGUUGUUUAACUAUGUGGGGGCUGCUUCUGGUGCUGUUCUUCUUUUGGCAUUUAAUGGCACAUUUGGUACUCGCUAAUAGAUGGGAGGGAAGAGUAUUAAAGAAUCUAAAAUAUUUUGGCACAUGCGGUGCAGUGAAUGGUUUGUUUAUAAAUUUUUCAGUUUUUUCCUCUUCCUUGGCUUCUUGGCCUUUAUUUUGUUACAAAUGGUUUUUAUUUUUCUAGAUGCUAGUUGUGGGUUUUUCUAGCUGUGUCAUAUGCUGUUUUGUAUUGGUGUAUUCUUGUGUUUCAUUAACUGUGUGGACACUUGAAGAAAUGACUGUUAGUUUCUGCCAAUUUUCCAAAAAUUUGUUUUUCUUAUAGUUCAUUUUCCUGCCUUCUAUAAAGAAAUUGAUAGCAGUGAGGAAAGAGGAUUAGAGUGUUCUUUAUGUAUAUGCGGGCAAACCUAUGAAGUAAUGUUGGAUUAGUUUGUAGUUGAUAGGAAACUUUAGUCGUAUUUUCUUCAUGUACUAUGCCACUUGAAGGCUUGAACUCCAUAUUUCUUGUCACAACUUACAGAAAAUUGGAAUUCGCCACGUCCAUAUCCUGUAGUUGAGGCCUUCAAUGACUAGUAUGAUUUAUAUAUUCCCAUACUCAUGUCCAGUGUGUGAGUCCUGAGUCCUGUUGAAAGCUGUGCUCCUCUUAAUUGGAGCCAUUUACCUAUGGCAAGGAGAGCAGGUGGGGUGGUUUAAUCGUCAUUUUUUUUUUUUUGAAUAUAUAUAUAUAAUAAUUCUAUUUAUCAAUUAUGAUAAUAGAAUAUCAGUGAUGCGAUAAUCUAUGUGGAAUAAUGAGAUUGUGUAGUUCAAUUUUUAUGAGAGAGGGAGAAGAGACAUGGUUUGUGACGGAUAAUGAGUUGUUGUAUCAUCGAUAUUCCAACAUCAUGAUGAUAAAAGAAUUACUCAAUUAUAAAUGGCUUAUCAUAAAGUAGAAAUUGUACUAAUGAGCUAAAAACAAAAAGACCACUAACCCAUUAAUGACCUAAUCCAAAUAUAUGAAGCCCAAUAAUUGAUUAAUGAUCAGUCCCAUCUUUCAACACAUUUACAUAAGGAAUUCGAAACGAGAUUUCUUCCAUGUAUUCAUAGUCAAAAGUAUUAAGGUUUAGAUUAAUUUUGUUUCAUAAUGAAAAAUUAUCAAUCAUAGUAGGGUAGGUCUCUAUUAUAUAGUUUUGUUUUUAUAUUUUCCGUCUCAAGUAUUCAAGUAAUUAUUUGAAUAUAGAUAAUAAAUAUUUAAAUCAAUAUUUGAAUAAUAAAUAUAUAAUUCAAUAUUUUAUAAAAAAAUAAAUAAAUUAAGGGCUUGUUUUAGAGCGAUUUUUUGACCCAAAAAAAUGAUUUUUGACCGUUAUUUUACUAUUUCAGUCGUCAUAUUUGACUUCUUUUCUCAUGGGUGGACCCCACUUUUCUCCUAACGGUCAAAAAAUCAAUUUUCAAAAUUGCUCCCAAACAGGCUCUAAAAAGUUUAAACGGUAUGGGUGGGGAUUCUCAUUCUCGCAGCCUCAAUCAGCUCAUAUAUAUUUACUAAAAUAAGUAUUAUUCAUAUUACACAUGCAUAUAAAAUUUACAUUUGAACCUAUAUUAGUAAUCUUCUUAGAAAUAUAAAUUAUUAAACAAGAAAAAAUGUAUUCUAUAUUUCAUUUGGGAUCAUUUUUCUAAUGAUCUCAAAUCUUUACCUUUUUGUAGACUUUAUCUCAAUUUUCAGUUUGUGCCAUUUAUAAUCUCAAAUCUUUUAUUUUGUUACACCACAAAAACAAAUAAAUAUGAAUUUGACCAUUAAUUGAUCUAAAAACUGAAAAUUUAACCAAAUUAUAAAGGGAUAAAACGAUGGAUCAGUCUAGAUGUACAGAAAUUUUUUUGUACGAACCUCCUACAACUAAACACACAUUGGUGUGGUGGAUGAUUUAUUUUUUGGAAUAAAAUAUUCACCUGUAAGAUUUUUGUGAAGCUUCUGACAAUGGUUUGCCUGGACACUUGGAUUUUUUCUAAAACGAUAGCUUUACAUUUUUCUAACAUUAAAUAAUUAAAUAUAAUUAAAUUAAAAAACCAAAACAAAAGAAAAUAAAACUCAUCAUCUUCUUCCACUUCUCCCCAAACAAAUAGAAAAUUGGAAAACCAUUAGCCCCCGUCGGCCCGUGGCCAAAAAAGCAUCUAACCAAAAUGGAACCCAGAUGAAAAACAUCUUCUCCACUGCCAGAUUGAGAGACAUUCUUCAAAAUCCCUGCUAAAUUGCUCAAAUUUAAAGCCAACGAGAGGCACAAUGUCCUCCAAAAUCUGGUCUUCCCAAUCAACAGUGGUGUCACCAUCUCAACUUUUCUUCUCGCGUUCAUAAUUGGAAUCGUCCUUUGCCGACUCGCUAUCACCAUCACCUCCAUCAAAUGGUGGCGAGAACACUGGCUUCCUCAAAUUAAUUACAGCAAUUGCAAUUGAUUACAGCAAAUUACAAGGUUUGAAGAUAUUACAAUCUGGAUCUUAAUUCAUCAAAUUAUAGGGAUUACAACAAAUUAAGUUGACUACAGCAAUUGCAAUCAAGAUCUUAAUAAUUCAUGAUUCUAAAAUUCAGAUGAAAGUCUGUCCCAAACUGUUAAGGUUUCGGAUCCACCCUAAUAAGGUCAACCUUAUUAAGAGGAGAAGCACAAGAACUUUAUAAAUUGGUAUUUAUUUCGGUAUUAAAUCGAUGUGGGAUAAUACAUCCCUUAAUAGGCUCCCUCAAGAUGGUGGCUCAUUUUGAACAGAUCAAUCUUGAAAUCCACGGGAUGAUUCUGAUACCAUGUUAAAAUUUGGGGUCUACCUUAUUAUCCUAAUAAGGUCAACCUUAUUAAGAGAAGAAACUUAAAAUCUUUAUAAAUUGAUAUUUAUUUCGGUAUUAAACCGAUAUGGGAUAACACAUCCCUUAACACAAACCCAGAACACGGUAACUAAAACCUGUUAAUUUCAAAUCUAAUUGAUUGUAAAGAAAAAAGCGUUGAGAUUUAUGAGGUUUGAAGAAUUUUUUUUUUUUUUUUUUUGAUAGGUGAGGUUUGAAGAAUCUUGGCAUACAAAAGCUAAAACUUACGAUAAAACUAAGGUCCUAUGAGUUGAAUGGAUGUUCUGAAAUAGUGAAAGCGAAGCACAAAUUUCAAGAUUUUUGGGUUUUGAUUUCUGGGGUUUAUGGAAACAUGAAAGCGAAGCAGAAAGUGUCGGGAUUUAUGGUGUUUGAUUUCUAUGUUUCAUAAAGAUGGAUUUUGUUACUCCCCUCACAUAGCACCUUGGCACGUCUAUUUUGUUAAACAACCCAAAGAAAAUAAAGAAGAAAAAGGAGGAGGCUAGGGUUUCAUUGAUACUACGUAAUUAAUUAAAUGCUAAAAAGAUGGUUUAACCUAAAUACAAAGAGAUAAUAUAUAGGCUAAACAAAGGAAACUAAAAAGUACUAUUCUACCCUUAAUAAAUAAUAAAUAAUCCUAUAUUUCUUAACAUCUCCCCUCAAACUCACGAUGCGGUAGCUACAAGCAUCGAGAGUUUGCCAAAUAGAAAACGAAAAUGAGAAAUAGAAUGCGACUUGGUAAAAAAAAUCUGCAAGCUGCAAAGAAGAAUAAACAAAGGGCAAAGUAAUUGUGCCAUGCUUGAGAUGAUGAUGAGUAAGAGGACAAUCGAUCUCAAUGUGCUUAGUUCGUUCAUAAAAAUCGAGUUGUGAGCAAUCUGAAUAGAAAUUUGGUUGUCGCAAUACAUAGGAGUGGGAUGAGAAAGAAAAACUCCCAUAUCUGCAAGUAACUAACGUAACCAAACAAUCUCUUUAGUAGUAGAUGCCAUAGCACAAUAUUCUGCUUUGGUGGAAGAUUGAGAAACAAUAGAUUGUUUCUUGCUUUUCCAAGAAAUAAGAUAAUCACCUAAAAAGAUACAGAAAGCAGUAACAGACUUGCGAUCUGUGGGAUCACUGCCACAAUCAGCAUCAGAGUAUGCACGUAGCUCCAAGGAGGAGGUGGAUGGAAGUAACAGACUCUGAAAGACUGUACCCCGAAGAUAUCGCAAAAUGUGAAGAACAACUGCCCAAUGAACUGUAGUGGGAGAAGCAACAAACUGACUAACAAUAUGAACAACAUAUGCAAUAUCUGGACGAGUAAUAGUGAGAUAUAUCAAGCUCCCAACAAUAGUACAGUAUAAAGUAUGAUCUGAGAAAGGUAAACCGUCAGAAGAAGAAUACUUCGUGUUAACCUCAAUUGGAGUAUCAACAAUCUUAUUAUCAGUAAGUCUUGCCCGCUCAAGAAUAUCUGCAACAUAUUUCGACUAAGAAAGAAGAUAACCUCUGGGUGAGAAGGCUACCUCAAUACCCAAGAAAUAUUAUAGAGAACCCAAAUCUUUCAUUUCAAACUGUCUAGCUAACUCUGUCUUCAAAACUGAAAUACCAUCAAUAUUAUCACCAGUAAUAAUCAUUUCAUCAACAUAUAAAGAUAGAAUGAUACGACUUGCAUCAGUACUCUUAACAAAAAGAGCAGAAUCAUGACUACUAGAAGCAAAUCCAAGGGAAGAGAUCACAACAGAAAAUUUCUUAAACCAAGCACGAGGUGUUUGUUUGAGACCAUACAACGCUUUCUUGAGCUUGCAAACAUACUCAGAAUCAUGUGAAACACCAGGAGGGGGUGCCAUAUAAACCUCUUCUUGAAAAUCUCCAUUCAGGAAGGCAUUUUUAACAUCAAGUUGAGAGAUACAUCACUGACGAACCAAAGCUACUGCAAUAAGAGUACGAAUAGUAGUCAUUUUUGCAACAUAAGCAAAUGUCUCCUCAUAAUCCAUACCAUACCGUUGAGAGUAUCCCUUUGUAACCAACCUAGCUUUGUAUCGCUCAAUUGACCCAUCAGAAUUAGUCUUGAUCUUAUAUACCCAACGACAACCAACAACACUCUUACCAGAAGGUAAAGUAACCAAAUUCCAAGUACCAGUCUUAUGCAAAGCAGAAAGUUCAUCAUUCAUAGCUUGCUGUCAAAGAGGAUCAAGAAUUGCCUCUUUAUAGGAAGAGGGCUCAGAGAGACAAUGAAUAGAAGCUAAAAAGGUAGAAAAUGAUAAAGAAUAACAAGAAUAAGCAAAAUCUGGUAACUUUGUAGACUUACGAAUGCGUAUGGAUUGACGUAGAGACGGAUCCACAAUCUCAGAUGGAGCUUGAGGGACCGUAGGAGAAGAGGACGCUUCAGGCGUGCCGGAGAGUAAAGUGUCAGUACCUGCGGAAUGAUUAGUACAAAUUGGUUGUAAAGACAACGGGGUAGGAACAUGAGAAUGACCAUUGGAAGUAGUAGGCUCCUGAGAAGACAAAUUAUCAGGAUUGUCAGAAAAAUGAUCUAUACGAAUAAGAUCAGAUCUAGUCAGACUAUAAGUAGUGGAUGGAAUAGAAAAGAAAGGCAUAUGCUCGAGAAAAACAACAUGACGAGACACGUAAAGUUUCUGAGUUAUUGGAUCAAAAAAAUGAUACCCCUUUUUACCUUCACCAUAACCAAAAAAGACACAAAUAGCAGAUCGAGAUGACAACUUGCUGCGUUCUACAUGAGGACGAAGAACGAAACAAGUACAACCAAAAACUCUAAAGAGAGAAUAAUCGGGGUAUACUCAUACAACUUUUCGAAAGGAGAAAACCCUAAAAUAUGAGAAGAUGGACUUGUAUUAAUCAAAUCUACAGCAGUAAGAACAGUUUCACCCCAAAACACACUAGGGACAGAUGCAGACAACAAGAGAGAGAGCAGUUUCAACAACGUGCGUAUGUUUUCUUUCAGCAACACCAUUUUGCUCAGGAGUAUCUGUACACGAAGUUUAGUGAAUAGUUCCAUCUAAAGUAAGAAGCUCACAAAAUUUAUUAGAAGUGUAUUCCCCACCCAAAUCACACAUAAAACAUUUGAUAACAGCAGAAUGUUGAGUUUUAACAAGAGCACGAAAGGCUAAGUAUAUCUCAAAAAAUUCAAAACGAUGUUUCAUUAAAUAAAUCCAGCAAUAACGAGUGUGAUCAUCAAUAAAGGAAACAUAAUAUCGAGAUCCUCCUUUUAUGGCAAUAGGAGAAGGCUCCCAUAUAUCAGAAUGAAUCAAAUCAAAUGGAGAAGAAGAAAUAGAAAUACUUCGAUUAAAAGGUAAAGCUGAAAAUUUUGUCAGUUUGCAUCCACUACAAUCAGAAAUAUCACAAGGGUGUAAAUUUCCUAAAGCCCCUGUAGAAGCUAAAAAUCUCAAACGAGACGACGAAACAUGACCUAGACGAGAAUGCCAUAAAUAAAAAUUAGAAGAAGAAGGACUCAAACGAAAGAAGACAAAUCAACACUAGUAGCGGCAACAGCAAUUGACACUUUUAGCUCAUCCAAAAUAUAUAGUCCACUCUUCCUACGACCUGUCCCAAUUAGUUUCUGAGACUGCAGAUCCUGCACAUAACAAGAAGAAGAGAAAAAUGUGACUAAAUUACCGGAAUCACAUAACUGACCAACAGAAGCAAGAUUUAAUGUGAGUUUCGGAAUAUGAUAAAUAUUAGGGAGGGACAAGUGAUGUGUGACAACAGAACCAACACUUGCUAAUGGCAUAGGAGUGCCAUCAGCAGUCAUGACAGCAAUAGAGGACGAAGGGGACACAGAAGCAAAAGACGAAAAAUCUGGAGACAUAUGAUGUGAAGCACCAAAAUCCAAGACCCAUACAGAAUGUGACAUACCUGAAGAACUAUGAGGCAACUGACUUAUGGAAGAAGCAGACAUAGCUUGAGGCUGUAAGGAGAGAAACUUCUGAAAUUGCUCAGCCAAAGUACUAGGAUCAGUAAAAUGACCUGAUGAAGCUACUGCUGCAGUAUUAGAUUGUGGUGGUCUAUGAGCAUUAGAUCGUGAUUGGUUGCCAGGCUUCCAAGCUUGAGAUUGCUGCUGUAAUUGAUUCGACUGUCUCAACUUAGGACACUGAGCCUUCCAAUGACCUUUAUGCUUACAGAAACUGCACUCGUCAAAGGCAACCCUUGUGUAAGGCUUAUUCUGAUUAUUAGAGGAUGGCUUAGAAGACACUGCUAAUACAGAAGGAUUAGAAGCAGAAAGAAUUCCAUUUUCAGCAUAAGACUUAUGACGUAUUUCUUUAGCCAAUCACUCACUGACAACUAAAUCAACAGAAGGAAGUGAAGAACGAUGCAAAAUUGAACCUCCGAGUCCUUCAAAAUCACUACGAAGUGCCGUUAAAAAUUGUACCAACCGUUGCUGCUCUCUACGAGUAAUAUAGGCAGCACAUGCCUUUAAUUCUGUCGUUUCUGUAAGGGCCAAUUGAUCCCAAAGAUCUGUCAUAGCAGAAUAAAACUCCUGAAUACUUAUAUUAUUUUGAUGAAGAGCUCGUAUAUCAUUCUCCAAUUGAUACUGCUUUGCAAAAUUUGACUGAGUGAAUAAUCUUUGCAGAUGAUCCCAAACCUCCUUUGCCGUCUCAUACUUCACCAACUCUCUACCUAUGGAAUGCUCCACAGAGUUGUUAAUCCAAGUAAUAAUUUUUGAAUUGUUUGAUUCCCACGUAUCUAUUAAAGCAGCAUAACCCUCAUUGGUAUUCUCAGGUUUCACAGAAGUUCCACUAAUGAAUCCUCACAUCUUUUACCCUUAAGAAAAUUUUUCACACGUAACUCCAAUACGAAUAAUUCUUUCCAUCCAACCUCACACUCACAGACUGAAGCGAAUCGUCUCUUUCAAUAGCCAUAAUAAAAAAAUAACAGAUUGCAGAAAUACCGGAUUGCAAAUUUAACAGAUUUGUCCCAUGAAAUCUAACUCUGAUACCAUGUUAAACAACCCAAAGAAAAAAAAGAAAAAAAAAGGAGGAGACUAGGGUUUCAUUGAUACUAUGUAAUUAAUUGAAUGCUAAAAAGAUGGUUUAACGUAAAUACAAAGAGAAUAUAUUUAGGCUAAACAAAGGAAACUAAAAAAGACUAUUCUACCCUUAAUAAAUAAUAAAUAAUCAUAUAUUUCUUAACAUAUUUUAGACGCCAACAGAGGCAUGAGGUCAUCGAAGUGAUACAGUUUGAGGCGUCUUCAUGUUUCGAGGCGUUGCUUUCGAAGUGUGAGAUGACCAAAGCACCUCUUCGCCAUGAGUUUCACAAAUGGAUCUUUUGGUCAAAAUUGUCUCUGUGUCUUUAAGAAUGAUUGAUGUGAUAUCUCUAUCAUAUGUUAAUUCAAAAUGAGAAGAAUUAAUUGUCCGCCCAUCUAGGAAGCGACUGAUGAACUCCUACAAGCUCGCACCGUGGGAUAAUUAAACGUCUCGCAUCUAGUGGUGCUUUCACCUCUAAAUACCAAGAACUUGACCAAGAAUAAGAGAUGUAUGACAUACGUGUUAUUCCACAACCAAGAUAUUAUAUUUUCUCCUUCCAAGAGUUUGUGCAUUUCGGCAUCGUCACCACCAUCGUCAACUAACUUGAUCGUCGGAGUGUAUGUGGCCAUCAUCUCUACCGCUGGUACUGGCCAUAUACGUCUGAUCGUUUGUUGUUGCACGCAAGAAAGAACAGGUGGAGGGUCCAAUUCGCAUGGUCAACAGAUUUGAUUUUUGGUUUUCAUUCCGGUGGUCGACGGUUAGCAGGGCUAGUAAUUUUCCAGUUUCGAUUUAUUUGGGGUGGAAUGGUGAGUAGGGUAGUAUGGUGGAAGAAGAUAAUGAGUUUUAUUUUCUUUCAUUUUGAGUUUUUUUUUUAAUUAAAUUAUUUAAUGCGAAGGUAUUUAAAACUUUCGAUAAAACUAAGGUCUUAUUAGUGUUCACAAUUCAAAGUUUACACGUCUACCACACGGAAAUAUGAAUUAUUUUAUAAUCAAUUUAUUAUUUAUCACGAGUCAAGAAAAGACCGACAAGUUUGCCACUUGUGUAAUUAGAAACCGACACUUUGACUAAUGAUGACGCAAACACAUACUACAGGAAACAUAAUUAAUAACGUCAUUAAAUCCUCAAUGAUUUGAAGUAAUCAAUAAAGUCGAAGAAAGUCAGUCGGUGGAAGUAGUUAAUUAACUAAUCACGUCAAACACGACCUUUAAGACACGAAAUCUAGAUCAUUGUUUUAACAAAAAUGAAAUAUUUUACAGUUGUCCUCUUUUUGCCUUUUCCUUGUUCUUCUUUUUAUUUUUUAUUUUUUUUAAUGCGUUAAGACAACUUUUAUCUUUUUUGUACAAUUACUUUUUGUCACGUUUACCAAUAAAAAUAUUAAAACGAAAUAAAAUUUAAUAUUGAACAAUCAAGUUCAAGCGUAUUGAAGCAUCAACCAAACUUGCAAGUAGGAAGAAGUCUAAUUAAAAUUUCCCUUUUAUUCUUGAUGCCAUAAUACUGGCCCUUAUUAUGGUCAACAUUAAUUGUUUUAGUUAAUAAAGUUUAUUUAAUGAAAUUAAUUCUCAUCCAAUGAUGAAAGUGAUAAACAUUAAACAUAAUUGCGAAGAUAACAGAUGAUAAGAUAAACUUUUAAUGAGAAAUUACUAAAAUUAAUUUGACAAAUUAUUUAACUAACAUUGAGAUUCUGAGAAUCAAGAUUAAAAAAGAUUAAAUAGUCUAAAAUAAUUUUUGUUUUCAUAUUUUUCUUCUCUAAUAUAAUCGACUUUACCGGACAAAAUAAUUUAACAUUCUAACUAAAAAGUGUACUGCAGUAACUAUCAUUCGCAUAAAAGAAAAGUAUAGAACCACAGCUAUAUCUCAUGAUUACAAAAGUAAAUUGAUUCAAGAUGAAAACAAACAAAACAUUUAUUUAUGUCAUAAAAAAAUCACACCUUCAACAAAACCCCCCACCCACCACUCUACACAACAGACCAGAAAGGAAGGAAAAAACACUAUUGUUGAAUGCCAAGCGAGAUCAGCUCCACGGCGACAUUGGAAAUCAGCAUAGUUGGAUCGCCUAGAAGAACAGAUAAUAGAAUUUUGAUAAACGAUUUGAUCUUCGUGAGGAAGGUGUUUCUACCCCCUCUGUUUCUAUUAUAUCUAACCAAUUCUCUUAAAUCCAUAUUCUCCAACGCCAAGUUCCCAUGCCUCAUGGAAGCCUCUUGUACCAUUUCAGUUAUACAAUACACAUGAAAAUGAUACUUUUUGCACUGGGAAACAUAAGACCAUCCCAGAACAUUUUUCUCGUCACGAGAAAUCUUCUUCUUCCCGCACUUUCCACACCUUGACGAAACCUUGGUCUCGAGAUCAAAUAUCGUACCAUCAAUCACUAGUUUCUUUUCAAGUUUUCGACAACACGGGUGUAAAUCCAAGUUGUCUUCUUCACAGUGGUAGUUAAAACCGCAUAUGUCCUUUCCACAUGCAUCGCAGCACUUUGAAAACACUCUGCGAUCCUUUUUACCCAAUCUGGUGAAUGGCUUAUCGAGAAAUGUGAAGAUGGAGCCACCAAAAUUCUCGUGGGAAACUUCAGAUGUGGGGUGCCUACACUCCUUGUGCAGUUCUUGACCACAGAGAUUGCACACGUACCUUUCUCCGGACCCUUUCAUCUUGCAGCCGUCGCAGCUGAACAACUUCGCAUAUGUUUUCAACUCAUAGUGCUUAUAGCAAUCAUGGAUUUGUGAUCCGAUGGUCAACAUAUUGUCUCCUGAAAAUUUUUGGGACAUUAAUUAAUGAACUAAAUACACAGUUGGUAUAAUAUCAGAAACUCGACUAGACUGAACAAUACGAAUAGAAGAAAGGUUCAAAUAUAGUACCUGAUUUGCUCGUGACGAUGAAUGCUAUUUCUUCAGCCAAAUUUAAACAAAAGAUUUGUAAAGAAACAGGGUCUAUGCUCAAGCAUUUGUUGGGAAGAAACUUGUGUAGUUGUUUAAAGUGCAUUUUUAUGAAGCAGAAGGGUUUAUUUAUAGUUUGGUUUUGACGCGUAAACAGCGUUUUGAAUUUAAGAUUUUUUAUUUUUUAUUUUAGUGACUUGCGUGUCAAGUCUCUCUUGAAGAUUAAUCCUCACCUUCUUAAUUAAGCAAUAGUUUCCACGCAUUUUGAAAUUAUCCUCUGUUAUCCAGCUGUCAACUGACGCCUAAUUUAUAUACCAUUCCAUGCUCUAAUUACAUUGAUGGCACUAAAAUUUUAAAUAAUUAUCUUAUUAAUUAUUAACUUUCAUGUUUACGGUAUUAUGCAGUUGAGUUUCUUAAUGUUACAUUGAUCAUCAUUUGCUUAUAUAUAUUAGCAUUAAAUUUUAAUGUGGAGUCGUUAAAUGUACAACAUUAUUUAUACAUCAAAUAAGCACAAAUCGUUGUUAGAAAACCCAAGGUUUAUCGUACGGUUUAAGCUGAAAAUCUAACUAAAAUUAAAGCUGUAUUACAUUUUCUUGUUUGAACAUUUUUAAUCUUCAAUUCUUAACUACUCAAUUAGUGUUGACUCGACAUAGUAAAUAACAUCAUCUUGUGUUGGUACUCGUUGUGACAUACAAUUUAAUGUUAAUAAUUAAAGGAGUGACAUCAAUGUCAAUAUUAUGAGCAUAAGUGACACAAAAAAUAAAAAAUAAAAAAAAUUAUGACCAUUGAUGUAAUUACUCGAAACUUCAGUGAUAAUUGACGAAAUUAACCCAUAAUCCCACACAUACAUGAUAAUGUAAAACUCAAUUUUUUCUAGAAGAUUCAAGGGAUAUGAUGACUAAUUUUGCCAACGGGCUUAUCAUAAUUUCUAUGAGUUGGUUGGUCUUCUUCAGGAAAUUAAAUUAUAAGAAUUUCGAUUUGAAUGAAAAUCACAAGUAACAUAGAGAUUUGCAUCUUAUCUUUUUUGGUCGGUUUUAUCUGCAUCUUCAGUGGGGCCCACGUGAAUAUGCUGGAAAGGGUUUAUUUUUAAUUAGAUUUUAACGCGUAAACAGCGUUUUGAGCUUAAGAUUAUUUAUUUAUUUAUUUAUUUUUUUAGUUUAGUGACUUUCCUGUCAAGUCUAUCUUGAAGAUUAAGAUCCUAUUUGGGAGUGAUUUUGAGAAUUAAUUUUUUGAUCGUUAUGAGAAAAGUGGGGUCCAUCUAUGAGAGAAAAAGUUAAAUAUGACGAUUGAAAUAGUGAAAUGACAGUCAAAAAAUCAAUUUUUUGAAUGAAAAAAUUGCUCCCAAACAGGCCCUAAUCCUCACCUUCUUAAUUAAGCAAUAGUUUCCACGCAUUUUGAAAUUAUCCUCUAUUGUUAUUCAAAGGUCAAAUGACGCCUAAUUUAUAUACAAUUCCAUACUUUAAUUACAUCGAUGGUCACAAAAAUUUUAAAUAAUUAUUGAACUUUCAUUUUACGGUAAUAUUCAAUUAAGUUUCUUAAUUUUGCAUUGAUAAUCAUUUGUUUAUAUAUAUUCACAUUAUGUCGUUAAAUGUACGACAUUAUUUAUUACAUCAAGUAAGCACAAAUUGUUGUUAAAAAAAUCCAAGAUUUACCGUACGAUGUAAGCUAAAAAUCUAAUUAAAAUUAAAGCUAACAUUUUCUUGUUGGAACAUUUUUACAGGGGUGUCCUCAAUUCAGAGUUGAAUAGAUUUCUUAAUAUUUAUAAAUUUUUAUGGAUUGUAUGGUAUUUAUAGAAUUUAAUAGAUUUCAUAAGAUUUGAAUGAAUUUUUAUUUUGUAGAUUUUAAUAGAUUUUCAUGGAUUUUAUAGAUUUUAGUAGAUUUGGCUAAAAUUUCUACAGUUCUUUUUUGAUAUACUCAG